UGGGGAAUAUUGCACAAUGGGCGCAAGCCUGAUGCAGCCAUGCCGCGUGUGUGAAGAAGGCCUUCGGGUUGUAAAGCACUUUCAGCGGGGAGGAAGGCGUUAAGGUUAAUAACCUUGGCGAUUGACGUUACCCGCAGAAGAAGCACCGGCUAACUCCGUGCCAGCAGCCGCGGUAAUACGGAGGGUGCAAGCGUUAAUCGGAAUUACUGGGCGUAAAGCGCACGCAGGCGGUCUGUCAAGUCGGAUGUGAAAUCCCCGGGCUCAACCUGGGAAGUGCAUUCGAAACUGGCAGGCUAGAGUCUUGUAGAGGGGGAUAGAAUUCCAGGUGUAGCGGUGAAAUGCGUAGAGAUCUGGAGGAAUACCGGUGGCGAAGGCGGCCCCCUAGACAAAGACUGACGCUGAGGUGCGAAAGCGUGGGGAGCAAACAGG
rnacentral:rRNA from 1 species